GGAAAGGCGCGCGAUACAGGGUGACAGCCCCGUACACAAAAAUGCACAUGCUGUGAGCUCGAUGAGUAGGGCGGGACACGUGGUAUCCUGUCUGAAUAUGGGGGGACCAUCCUCCAAGGCUAAAUACUCCUGACUGACCGAUAGUGAACCAGUACCGUGAGGGAAAGGCGAAAAGAACCCCGGCGAGGGGAGUGAAAAAGAACCUGAAACCGUGUACGUACAAGCAGUGGGAGCACGCUUAGGCGUGUGACUGCGUACCUUUUGUAUAAUGGGUCAGCGACUUAUAUUCUGUAGCAAGGUUAACCGAAUAGGGGAGCCGAAGGGAAACCGAGUCUUAACUGGGCGUUAAGUUGCAGGGUAUAGACCCGAAACCCGGUGAUCUAGCCAUGGGCAGGUUGAAGGUUGGGUAACACUAACUGGAGGACCGAACCGACUAAUGUUGAAAAAUUAGCGGAUGACUUGUGGCUGGGGGUGAAAGGCCAAUCAAACCGGGAGAUAGCUGGUUCUCCCCGAAAGCUAUUUAGGUAGCGCCUCGUGAAUUCAUCUCCGGGGGUAGAGCACUGUUUCGGCAAGGGGGUCAUCCCGACUUACCAACCCGAUGCAAACUGCGAAUACCGGAGAAUGUUAUCACGGGAGACACACGGCGGGUGCUAACGUCCGUCGUGAAGAGGGAAACAACCCAGACCGCCAGCUAAGGUCCCAAAGUCAUGGUUAAGUGGGAAACGAUGUGGGAAGGCCCAGACAGCCAGGAUGUUGGCUUAGAAGCAGCCAUCAUUUAAAGAAAGCGUAAUAGCUCACUGGUCGAGUCGGCCUGCGCGGAAGAUGUAACGGGGCUAAACCAUGCACCGAAGCUGCGGCAGCGACGCUGAUGCGUUGUUGGGUAGGGGAGCGUUCUGUAAGCCUGCGAAGGUGUGCUGUGAGGCAUGCUGGAGGUAUCAGAAGUGCGAAUGCUGACAUAAGUAACGAUAAAGCGGGUGAAAAGCCCGCUCGCCGGAAGACCAAGGGUUCCUGUCCAACGUUAAUCGGGGCAGGGUGAGUCGACCCCUAAGGCGAGGCCGAAAGGCG
rnacentral:rRNA from 1 species